UUUUAAAAAAUAUAAUAGUAAUAUUUUGGCCCAAAAUCAACUAUUAAGAUUUGGCCAAAAUGUAACCUCUCCCCCAGAGCAGGGCUAACGUCUCUGCCGCAGAGUAGGGCUGUGCAUGCACACUACCUCCAGUGUUGUUGUUGUCGUCGUCCUCUCUUUGGUAUUUUACUUUCUGCCCUAUGAGGCUUCCUAAAAGAUGCAGAUAAAAUAAGAGUUGAGCUAAUGUUUGCUGGUCAUAGUACCUCUUACGUGAUGAGUGGCUGGUUCAGAUUAGAAAUAAGCACACUACAUGAUAAUGAAUAAGCUGGUUGGUAUCAAGGUUUUUCGUGGAUCUCAAAUGCGACUCAGAUUCUUUUUACAAGAUUUAAGAUGAUUUGAGAUCUUUUGCUUAUUGGAUUGCAGAAUCAUACUUACAUAGGUAAUUUCUUGUCCAAUUUGACUUUACCCCUCUGUUUGAAGACCUGCAUUGUUAACCCACUGGAUCAUUAAUUUUCUACCUUUUCUGUUGGAAUGACAAAGGGAUCAUGCAUGACAUUAACUUCUAAUACUGUUAAAUACCUUCAUUCUCCACCAGAAGCUAGAGGAAAAAUAUAUGUUUGGUAGUGGUGCAUCCGUUAUUUAGAAAUCCUAGAUCCGCCACUGUCUAUUAUCUGUGGUCCAGCAAAAUCUGUUUUACAAGGAUCUCCCACAUGGGAAAAUAACUCAAGAUGUCAUGUUUUGGGGUAUGACCAAUUCUUCUGACCUAACAUCUCCGCAAAAAGUCAAUUCUCCAUUCAAUAGAUCUUUUGUCAGCUGGAAUUUUGUUCCCCUUCUCCCGUGUCUGCAAUGGUUCUGUGUGGCCCAUUCCUUCAUGGCAGCAGCCCAGUCUGCACCAUUGUAUUUUCACUUUGUGGGAAGAUUUUGCUGAAACUGAUGGAAAUGAGCUAGCUACACAAGUUGACAAACAUCCAGUAAUCCUAGCAAAACGAAUUGCACGGUCUUCUUAUGCUGGAACAUCGUUGACAACAAGAUAUAAUUAUGCAAUAUUGGUAAAUCCAUUCUAUCCACAGGCUGCAGAAUUGAUGAAUUGGGUGAAAGAUAAUGAAGAAACGUUGAGCAUAUAUACACAGUAGUUCUGCAGAGACAGCUUCAUCGCCUCUUCUUGUAUCGCUACAUGAUGAGGCUGUACCUAUUGCAAAUAUUCAGUCACAACCAGCGAUGCAAUCUUUUCAUGUGGAAGGUAAAAUGUCGCUGCUAGAUGAUGAGCAGCGGUUUUACGAGUUAAUGUAUUCAAAAUGCAAGCAAUUUGUUAGAACUUCCAUAAUAAAAGUUGUCGACUGUUGAAUUGCGAUCAACAUGCGAUGUUAACACCCAGGUGCCGAUUUCAAGUUGAAAUUGCAGAUAUAAGUGGAUCGACAAUUACAACAAUAUUAGGUGAAUCUGUAGAAAGUCUCCUUUCAAUGAAAGCUGAACAGAUCUAUGAAAUAACUAAGAUAAAGAAUGAAUUGAUGCCUCUUCAACCUAUUCGGCAACGUCUUACUGACAAAGUGUUCAAAGUACAACUAAAGAAAUCAUUUUCCAGGACGUCGGAUGAAACACCAGCAAAGCUAUUCAUUCUGUCGUAUGUUGAAAAGCAAGAUACUCUCCAAUUGCCAGCACCAUCAACUUUUACAAAUGCUGGAGAAAGCAGCAAAAGAGAGCUUGGCAAUCUGUCAUCCCCGCAGGAACAAAAAGAACUGAUCACAGAAGCUACAUCAUCUAGCAAAAGACAACAGACUGAGCGGACAACUCCAACUAGAAAAAAUGCUUCUUCUAGCAUAAAGCAAAAUAUUUAGCCAGUCACUCCUGCAAAGAAAAAGUGAAGGUGGAGACUUAAAUCUUUUGAUCUUUGUACAUAUUAGCUCUUCAGUUUACUGACUAUGUGGCCUACUUGUACAUAUGUCUUUUGAUGACUUGUACAUACACUACUUUUGAUGGCGGCGCAGAUGGUUAUGGAUCAAGGGUACAACUCGGAGAAUAUACAGGACUACACAUGCUUUGGUUUGAACUUUAGUUUUGUCCCUUGUGUACACGUGUUUUAGACAAACAUUACAACUUGGGAGUCCUGUAAGUCUGUAACUAAAGAUCAAACUGCUUGCUGAAAAAAUGCAAUAGUAGAUCUAAACUACCUUUUUGGUUUGAAUUUACUUGUGCUCUCUGGUUUGCUCUA